GAAAAAACAAGGAUUAUUUAGAUCAAUAUAUUGUCUACUCGAUUUUUUGGGUUGAAUUUGAUAGAAGAGAAACUAUAAGAGAUCUUUGAUAGCAACACUUCCCAAUCCUCAUGGGCUUCCGAGCUUGCAAGAAAGAAGAAGUCCCUGUAGAGGGUAAUCAAGAUAUGGAGGUGGGGAUUAAAAGAAAGAGGUAGUUGAAGAAUCUAUAGAUUAUAGUAUCGAUCAAGCUCUCACUUAUACGUCAGUUUGAUUAGAUUAGGUCAAACAUACAUGUAAUAUUACAGUAAAUUUAUCUUUUGGAUUAUUGUAAAAUAUUU